CCUACGGAGGCAGCAGUGAGGAAUAUUGGGCAAUGGGCGAAAGCCUGACCCAGCAACGCCGCGUGAAGGAUGAAGUAUUUCGGUAUGUAAACUUCGAAAGAAUAGGAAGAAUAAAUGACGGUACUAUUUAUAAGCUCCGGCUAACUACGUGCCAGCAGCCGCGGUAAUA
rnacentral:rRNA from 1 species